GAUGAACGCUGGCGGCGUGCCUAAUACAUGCAAGUCGAGCGAACAGACGAGGAGCUUGCUCCUCUGCCGUUAGCGGCGGACGGGUGAGUAACACGUGGAUAACCUACCUAUAAGACUGGGAUAACUUCGGGAAACCGGAGCUAAUACCGGAUAAUAUAUUGAACCGCAUGGUUCAAUAGUGAAAGACGGUUUUGCUGUCCCUUAUAGAUGGAUCCGCGCCGCAUUAGCUAGUUGGUAAGGUAACGGCUUACCAAGGCAACGAUGCGUAGCCGACCUGAGAGGGUGAUCGGCCACACUGGAACUGAGACACGGUCCAGACUCCUACGGGAGGCAGCAGUAGGGAAUCUUCCGCAAUGGGCGAAAGCCUGACGGAGCAACGCCGCGUGAGUGAUGAAGGUCUUCGGAUCGUAAAACUCUGUUAUUAGGGAAGAACAAAUGUGUAAGUAACUAUGCACGUCUUGACGGUACCUAAUCAGAAAGCCACGGCUAACUACGUG
rnacentral:rRNA from 1 species